UGGUGGGGUAAAGGCCUACCAAGGCGACGAUCUGUAGCGGGUCUGAGAGGAUGAUCCGCCACACUGGGACUGAGACACGGCCCAGACUCCUACGGGAGGCAGCAGUGGGGAAUAUUGGACAAUGGGGGGAACCCUGAUCCAGCCAUGCCGCGUGUGUGAAGAAGGCCUUAUGGUUGUAAAGCACUUUAAGCGAGGAGGAGGCUACUGAGACUAAUACUCUUGGAUAGUGGACGUUACUCGCAGAAUAAGCACCGGCUAACUCUGUGCCAGCAGCCGCGGUAAUACAGAGGGUGCGAGCGUUAAUCGGAUUUACUGGGCGUAAAGCGUGCGUAGGCGGCUUUUUAAGUCGGAUGUGAAAUCCCCGAGCUUAACUUGGGAAUUGCAUUCGAUACUGGGAAGCUAGAGUAUGGGAGAGGAUGGUAGAAUUCCAGGUGUAGCGGUGAAAU
rnacentral:rRNA from 1 species